ACAAAUUAGCAACCACGUAGACCCCAGAUGGCGCCGACAAAACAUGUGACGUCCCGACGAAUGGUGCGGAAACGUCAAGGUGGCGUCGCCACCCACAUUUUGUUUUUGCGCGUUUUCUCGUUUACUAAGCGUCUUCUCGCAGCAAGCGUGGUGUUUUUGGUAUCGCGAAAGAGUACUUU
rnacentral:lncRNA from 1 species